UAGAUCUCAAUCAGGU
rnacentral:rRNA from 1 species